rnacentral:piRNA from 1 species
UGAGAACUCAGUAAUUAGGUUAGAGCAGC